UGGAACGCCUCUGUAUCGUCUGCAGGAUUUCAUCACCGCAUGUAGUCGUCUCCCGUGCGUGUGCAGCUCACAGCCAAGGUUCCGCUAUUGCCAGUACGUCAGGAUUUUGGCUGCGUUGUAUGGGACGCGUUGGAGACGGCGGCACCGGUAGCGAGCGAAUGGUUCCUGCAAGAGCUGUCCCGCUGGAUGAAAGGCACUACGAAUGGACACAAGGAAAAGUUAUGUGCGAUGCUGUAUGGCACACAAUCCUCUGAUCCGCGUCCGUCGGCGCAUUACCAUGGAAAGAAGUUCAGAAGAGGUGUUGAAGGACUGACGAUUUUGGAGCCAUGGCUCGUGGAUGACAGAUUGUUAAAUGACGCCCUGGGAUUUUGGGGUUGAGAGUUGCGCUUUCUUUUUUCUUCACGCAACUUAUGACUUCGCUCUCGUUUUUUUUCUGUUGUGUUCUGGACAAUAUUUUAGCAACCUUUUUGUAGAUUGUAAUACCUUUCGUAGCGUUCAGUUUUUUACGUUAAUGAUCCUUUCAUUUGCCAUGUAGUUGCCGAUUACUGAUUAGCAUUGAACGUGAAUUCCGAUUAUC